CGCCCCCACAGCCUUCCUCUCCCUCCUUUUCCUGCCAGAGAAACCGGCGGCCCAGGAGCACCCAUCUCACCUUCCCUUCCACAAGGGCUCCUCACCAGCUUGGCCACUUUGAGGCAGACUUGCCAGAGCAGCCAGCCUCUCCCCUUCCUCCCUCCCUCUGGCUUCCUCUCUAGUCAUCUUAUGAUGUAAUCAGAGUGAUUUCACUUCCUGAAUUUGGAUGAAUUCUAGGACAUGCACAAGAUCAGUUUGUAGACCUCUAAGAUUGAAGAUCCAUGGCCUGGAUCAUGGUGAACUCACCAAAGCAAAUAACGCCUGUGAGAUGAUCCUGCAGCAGUCAAUCAGUGCUCUCUUUUGGUGACACCCAGUCCUUGAUGUAUAACUGUAAAUUCCUAUAAAUCUAUUAAGGUCCCAAUAAAUUUUGUCUCUAA